UACGUAGGGCGCAAGCGUUAUCCGGAAUUAUUGGGCGUAAAGAGCUCGUAGGCGGUUUGUCGCGUCUGCUGUGAAAUCUGGGGGCUCAACCCCCAGCCUGCAGUGGGUACGGGCAGACUAGAGUGCGGUAGGGGAGAUUGGAAUUCCUGGUGUAGCGGUGGAAUGCGCAGAUAUCAGGAGGAACACCGAUGGCGAAGGCAGAUCUCUGGGCCGUAACUGACGCUAAGGAGCGAAAGCAUGGGGAGCGAACAGG
rnacentral:rRNA from 1 species